rnacentral:lncRNA from 1 species
GUGGAGGGCUAACUGUUGAAGAAACCGAACUUAUCACUGCGGUUACUGGUCUCCCCCUUGGUUGUCUCCCUGUUCGUUAUCUUGGAGUUCCCCUGUGCACAAAAAAGCUUAAUAUGCUAGAUUGUGAGCCUCUACUGCUUCAAGUCAAGGGAAAAAUAAACAGUUGGACUACCAAAUUCUUAUCUUUUGCAGGAAGGUUGUUACUCAUUAACACUGUCAUUGCAGGGAUCACUAAUUUUUGGUGCUCCACUUUUGUACUUCCAAAGCUCUGCAUCCGUAAAAUAAACUCUAUCUGUAGUGCUUUUUUAUGGAAAGGAAAUUUGGAAGGUCAUCAUUCAGCAAGGGUUUCUUGGGAGAAAGUGACAAAACCUAAAGAUCAGGGAGGUUUGGGGAUCAAAGAUCUUACCAUCUGGAAUAAGGCCUGCUCCAUAAGACUAAUCUGGCUCCUCUUCUUUAGAUCGGGCUCGGUUUGGGUGGCUUGGUACAAGGUUCAUUUUCUGCGUGGGUCUCUAAACAACUUCUGGACUAUGAAACAAAGACCUGCUUACUCAUGGUUGGCAAAUAAGCUGUUGAAGUACAGAGAAGUAACCUAUGAAUGGAUAAAAUUGCGAGUAGGAAAUGGGCUUACAUGUAGGUUCUGGACUGACAAUUGGUCUCCAUUUGGGAAGCUAUUGAGCUACUUUCAGAGUGGUGCGGAUGCAAGAAUGGGAAUACGCCAGCAUACUACAUUAUCAAAGUUGUACAAUCAGGGCACUUGGAUGCUACCAAAUCCGAGAUCGGACAAACAACUAUCUCUCCAUAUCUUCCUCACUACUUUGAUCCUCACUGAUUCUGAAGACCACUAUGAGUGGGAGCUGGAUGGAGCGAUUCAACAAAGGUACUCAACUGGUCAAGUCUACUCCCUGCUUAGUGAACAAUUACCCCUUGUUCCUUGGAAAGAGGUGGUUUGGUUCCCAGGCUCAAUCCCAAAACACAGCUUUCUCACAUGGCUUCUGAUCCAGAACCGUUGCCCAACCCGUUAUCGCAUUCUAGGAUGGGGCCUCCAAACGGAUCCUCUCUGUCUUCUCUGUGGCAACUCUCCUGAAACCAGAAAUCAUAUCUGGUUUGAAUGCUCUUACUCUUGGACCCUAUGGGAAUCUGUUGCUGCUCGAUGUAGGUUGCAACCGAUGAGAUAUUGGGAAGCUUCUUUAUCCCAAUUGCAAGUGAUGCGUGGCCCUAAGGAUCAACGAAGGUUAACCCUACUUGCUUGGCAGUGCUCGUUAUACACCAUAUGGGCUGAGCGGAACCAUCGUCUCCAUAGCGUCUCCUUCAGAGCUGUGGAUGACCUCCUCAAAACGAUUGAUGCUACUAUCAGGAACAGAAUUGCCUCUUACAGAGAGGUAAAUCAAAUCAUUUCUUCGCUCAUGUUUCAACGCUGGUUCUCCUCUGAGUGAUACCAUCGACAAUGACCGUCACUAUUCUAUCGGCUAGGGUAACCUAUUACUCUCUAGGUUCAAUGUACGAUCCUUUCAAUGUUUGUUUUGUGCUUUCUGGGCU